GACGUAGGGCGCGAGCGUUGUCCGGAUUUAUUGGGCGUAAAGAGCUCGUAGGCGGCUUGUCGCGUCGACCGUGAAACCUCACAGCUCAACUGUGAGCCUGCGGUCGAUACGGGCAGGCUAGAGUUCGGUAGGGGAGACUGGAAUUCCUGGUGUAGCGGUGAAACGCGCAGAUAUCAGGAGGAACACCGGUGGCGAAGGCGGGUCUCUGGGCCGAUACUGACGCUGAGGAGCGAAAGCGUGGGGAGCGAACAGG
rnacentral:rRNA from 1 species